rnacentral:rRNA from 1 species
CCCUUAGACGUUCUGGGCCGCACGCGCGCUACACUGACGAAGGCAACGAGCUUUCCUUUACCGAAAGGUACGGGUAAUCUUUAGAAACUUCGUCGUGCUGGGGAUAGAUCCUUGCAAUUUUUGAUCUUAAACGAGGAAUGCCUAGUAAGCGCAAGUCAUCAACUUGCGUUGAUUACGUCCCUGCCCUUUGUACACACCGCCCGUCGCUACUACCGAUUGAAUGGUUUAGUGAGGCCUUCGGAUCCGCGACUCGUUUUGUAGAGAAGUUGGACAAACUCAGUCAUUUAGAGGAAGUAAAAGUCGUAACA